GGGGGCGAAAUAGGAUCGACGAGGGCGUAAAGGGCGUGCUUUUUCCCGGUAUUGUUCCGCCGUUAUCGGGCUACUGCAAUAGUUGCCAACGACAACUUUGCUCCGGUUGCUCAGGCUGCGUAACGCAGUUUGAAAGACCAUCUUAAAGUCCUAACGGGUUAAGCUCCGUUAGGCGGGGUUCGGAGGCACCUGGCAACAGAAGCCUCCACUU
rnacentral:tmRNA from 2 species